CAGGACCUUCAGAUUAUGAGACUGACGCGCUGCCCACUGCGCUAAGAGGGCCUUCGCUUAGGGGUGCUUUCUACCUUUCAUAAGAAAAUACCUGCAGCACAUUCCGCUCGCUAAGUCGCUUCUGCAAGGUCGGGCUUGCAGGCAGAAGCACCUGGUCUCCCCCAGUGGGGACACGUGGGAGGGUCUCUAGCGGGAACGGAGCAGCCUGGCCUCAGGGAACGAGCCCCGCGCUGGGAAGAAAGCUGCCUGCCGGGAGUGCAUCCUCAUGAGGACCCGGAACCCGAGCCGCCGCGGCUCACCCAGAGGAGGGGGGGCCCUGGGGUGCGUGUGCGACGCCCGGCGCGCAGACUCUGGGCACGGCCACAAAGGAAACUUUGAAGAGGAACUUUUCUACUGCCUGCACCAUGGAAGUCCUGGGAAAAGCAGGUAGAAUGGAGUCACCAUCACAUUGAGCUAGAUGCUGGAUUUGGAGAUGGAUCUAGUACAUGACUCAAGGUAAGAGGUUGUGUUUGGCUGAUACCACCUGUGUCUGUCUGGAGUCAGCUAUGAGGAUAGAGGCUCCUUGAGCCAGGAAUGGUAUCUUAUUCCAGAUAUUGGCAGACCGCUGGCCUCCCGAGGACCACAGGAAGGGGCCUGGCAGACUGGUGAUCCCAGUCAGAGAUGAAGAGGGUCCAAUUAAGAGGAGCCGACUGAUGCCUGGAGGUUUCCUCCCCAGGAGCGGCGAGCCUGUCAGAGCUGCACCUGGGCCUUUCUGUACCUGGGAGAGAGUCUGGGCAUGAUUGGCUGGCUUCCCACCAACACAUGGGGCUCGAGGAGUGCACUGCCUCUGUUCCACGCCUGAUGUCAUCCACAUCCACACCUGUGCAUCUGGCCAGGAGAGUGACUAUCACUGUUGAGGGCAGUGUGAUGUGGCUGGCUAGAUACUUCUGAUGGUUUCUCUUGAGCUCAGCCUUUGCACUUCACCUGUGUGAGCCAGAGGGAAAGCUAGGGUGGAGAUGGACCAUCCUGGGUAAGCUGGGAUCCCACAGUGAGAUUCCACACCACGGGGUGUCAGAACCUCGAGUGCUGGUGGCAGCUGUGGUGGGGGUGGGGUGGCAUUCCUGUCCUUUGCCACUCGUUGGCUGUGUCACCUUGGAAAAGUUAUCUAAACCCCUUGGUGCCCCAGUCUUCUUUGUCCCAUGGCAAUCUGAGUAGUCCAGACCUGGUUGGAUGACUCUGAGGUUUCAAUGAGGUCAUAUAUGCAAAAAGUUUUUUUUCAGCAGCAUUCUUUUUAUUUAAAAAGAUUUUUUAAAAUGGGAAUACUCACUAAAAGGAGUAUCUGACCUCAAUAUCUUUGGGUGUCUGGGAUUGAGGGGUGUUCCUGAAUGGGCAUCAGGGAUUGAUAAACCCUUGUGUUAUAGAGGAAAGAAACAUGAAAUGCAGCUUUAACAGUUAAAGACAGAUUUACUUUAGAUAAAACCUGAGAGGGGCCUUUCGGACAGUAGUGCUUUCUCUUACAGACUAAGAGUACAUAUUGGUUUUGGGAUGAGGGGCUUUUCACAAGCUUGGAAUGUUUCUGGGUUGGGGAGAAGUUUAUGGCAAGGUUGGAAUGUUUCUGGGCAGAGGGGAGGUUUAUCUUGGAGCUGACAUCUUCCCAGCUGGAGUGGGGUUAUCUUGGGUCUAGCAUGUCUGUGGCUGGGGAGGAGUUUGGAAUGUUUCUGGUUGGAGAUGUUAUUUGUGGUUUAUGACCAUGCUGACCUUAGCCAUUAGGCUGAUGCCCUUUGGCUUUAGGUGGUUUUUGAUUAAGGUGAAUUUUAAAAUGAGGCGCUAGUCCGCGAUGGUGAGGCUCCUGCUCUGUCAUCUUGCCCCCCUAAAUUGCAAAGCUUUGUUUUUGUGUAUGCAUAUAUACAUUUUUUUCCCCUAGGAGCAAAGGCAAUAGCUUAACUAAGAUGCUCAGAGGGGUCAUGAUGUAAAGAUUGGAUGCCUGGGGCGAGGGGUGUUUCAAGUGCCUUUAUUUCAGACCAGAGCUUCUCACCCUGAGGAAUAAUGCCAUUUGGGGCCAAAUCAUUCCUUGUUGUUGCAGACUGACUUGUGCAUUGCAGGAUGAUUAGCAGCAUCUCUGGCUCUACCCACAAGACACCAGUAGCACCCUCCACUCCAUCCCCACCUUAGUUUUGCCAAUAAAAAAUGUCUGUCCGAUGUCUCUGGGGAGGUGGUAGGAGGACAAAAUUGCCCCGACUGAGAACUGCUGCUUUGUAAUAUUCCGAGUUGGAGGGAGCCCUCGAUAAGUGGUUAUUAUUUGCUGUGUUGAAGUUUGGCAAGGUUUCUCUUCUGGACCUUGUUGAUCUCCUCCUAUUUCUGUGAGCUGCUUAAAGGACCCAGAGCAAUCCCGGGAAAGUUGGCAACUACAGCUCUUCCAAACUCCAGCCCCAUUGGAUAGAAACACUGUCCUCUCAUUGGUUGAGGCAGCCUGAUCAACUGGAACUUGGUUCUUACUGUGUUUCUCCUUAUGCAAGCCUAAAGGAUCUCAGCCAGGGCAACAUAGCGAGACCCUGCCUCUACAAAGAAAAAAAAAGAGACAGAGAGAAAAGAAACAAA